AUUGAACGCUGGCGGCAUGCCUUACACAUGCAAGUCGAACGGCAGCACGGGAGCAAUCCUGGUGGCGAGUGGCGAACGGGUGAGUAAAGUAUCGGAACGUGCCCAGUCGUGGGGGAUAACGUAGCGAAAGUUACGCUAAUACCGCAUACGAUCUAUGGAUGAAAGCGGGGGAUCGCAAGACCUCGCGCGAUUGGAGCGGCCGAUAUCAGAUUAGGUAGUUGGUGGGGUAAAGGCUCACCAAGCCGACGAUCUGUAGCUGGUCUGAGAGGACGAGCAGGCACACUGGGACUGGGGCACGGCCCAGGCUCCUACGGGAGGCAGCAGUGGGGAAUUUUGGACAAUGGGCGAAAGCCUGAUCCAGCCAUGCCGCGUGCAGGAUGAAGGCCUUCGGGUUGUAAACUGCUUUUGUACGGAACGAAAAGGUUUGGGCUAAUAAGCUGAGCUCAUGACGGUACCGUAAGAAUAAGCACCGGCUAACUACGUGCCAGCCGCCGCCGUAA
rnacentral:rRNA from 1 species